CCCAAAUUCAGAUUUCAAUGUAGUAUUGCGCAUUCGACAUUACUAUACUAGUGACAUAAACCUGCACAUAAUCAUGUAAUCAUUAUGGUUACAAUAUAGUUUUACUGACGAAGUCAUAACGGUUAUACGGGACACAUUCGGAAGUAAUAGGCAGUAUACAAUUAUAGAAUAUUAAAUUACACCAAUUAUGCGCGUUUCAAAAGCUGCAACCGUAUGUAAUGCCCCUGACCCUAAUACGAUAAUAAUUGAUAAGUAAACCGAUUGGCAUGAGUGAUGCACAGAAUCGUCGUCAUACGAUAUUAAUAGGGUUAGGAUUUGGUAGGUUAUGUUUUUUUUUUUUUUUAUGAUUUGGAUUUACGAUAGAAUUGCCAAUCCGAAUUCGUUUUAUACAAUUAUACCGGGGUUAUUUUGUUGUUGUGCACAAAAUCCCUUUUUCGAAGAAAUCUGUAAUUGUUAUUAUAUUUAACAGAAAGGGAUCAAUUUUGUUUUUCCAUUC